rnacentral:rRNA from 1 species
GACGAACGCUGGCGGCGUGCCUAAUACAUGCAAGUCGAGCGAAUCUUUGGGAGCUUGCUCCUAAAGGUUAGCGGCGGACGGGUGAGUAACACGUGGGCAACCUGCCUAUAAGACUGGGAUAACUUCGGGAAACCGGAGCUAAUACCGGAUACUUUCUUUCUCGCAUGAGGGAAGAUGGAAAGAUGGUUUACGCUAUCACUUACAGAUGGACCCGCGGCGCAUUAGCUAGUUGGUGAGGUAAUGGCUCACCAAGGCAACGAUGCGUAGCCGACCUGAGAGGGUGAUCGGCCACACUGGGACUGAGACACGGCCCAGACUCCUACGGGAGCUG